rnacentral:lncRNA from 1 species
CCAAACCACAACUAAUUGAUUCACCUUGGUUGCUAUUCAAUCUUACUCAUGUAGGACAAGAAAAGAUGAUGAUUUAUCGCCACAAAGCCUAAGAGAAGAUACCACAAAUGUAUACUAUGAAAGAACCACCAAUUGCAUACGUUAUACAAGCGUUUUGGACACCUUUUUUCUCACACAAAGGGGGGCAGCCGGGAUUCACUUUUUCUUCUCUCAAAAUCACACACUCAUCAUUAGAAUGUGGCUAGGGUGAUGGCCAAAUAUAUACUCUAGGGUUAGACUUUAAGUUGGGCCAUUAAAGGAGUAAAUGGGCUAAGAUUUAAGCCAUCCAUAAGGAAUACAAUUGGGCUGGGUGUAGCUCAUGGACUUGGUUGUUGGACUUAUUUCAUUCAUCGGCCUAUGCGUAUGAAAUAAUAUUAACCCACGUUAACAUCAUAGCUCGGGAUUUAUUGGGUAUCAAAAACCCAACAAAUCUCCACCUUGAUGCCCAAUAAAUCUGCAAGCAAUCAAAACACGCAGUUAGCACUUGCAUAAUCAAGGUAGCCAAUAAAAUUGGAUCACAGACCUUACCUCGUGUUUCCAACUUGAGACACACACCAUACCUGCUCCAUAUACUCACCAGGGCUAAGGUCAAGAACACCCAUGUAUAAACAAGUACUUACAGUGAACAACUAAUCAUGCGAUAAAGAUAUUAUAUAGGAUACCGUACAGAGAUCUUUUCAAAAUUCAUGUUCACACUGAACCACCGAUUAACACCAAGAUAAUCAGCAGACGAUCAAACAAAUAUGCAACACAUGCAUAAAUGACCUCACGAAAGAUCUCACCACACUUACCCUAUCCCAUUCCGUGUUGCUCACACCUCGAGAACACAUAUCUCCUCUCAUCGCCCACAAUGCUCACUAAACCAAUCACUUAACUCAUGUCUAACUGACAAGUCACAAUAUAUCCUAAGCUCUCGGAAUAAUUCUCUAUCACCACAUCACUUCUCCCAACCUACGUGGAUAAUGGGACUCCACCUUAUAGAAGUGAUAGAAGUCUCUCUCACACUCCACCUGUACAGGGUCUCUUUCCAAAUAAAGGAUUCUAG